GUCAAUGGAAGAAAUCGCUUACAGGGCCCAAACAGAAUGAACUGAACUAAAUAAGGAGCUGAUGAGACUAGGUGAGUAACUAACACAGGUGAAAUCAAUGAACAAAAAUUAAAGACUGCUACGUUCAAGAACACAAUGAAACAGAACACAAGGUUGACUCAUAAAAUAAAUACAGAACCUUACACAUUCCAGGGUUUUUCUUUAUUUUUUACUAUUUUCUACAUUGAAGAGUUAUAGUGAACACAUCAAAACUGAAAUAAAAUACAUGGAAUCAUAUAGUAACUAAAAAAAGGUUCAACAUAGUCCCGGACUUGAACCCGAUCGAACAUCUCUGGAGAGACCUGAAAAUAGCUGUCCCCAUCCAACCUGACAGAGCUUGAGAGGAUCUGCAGAGAAGAAUGGGAGAAACUCCCCAAAUACAGGUAUGCCAAGCUUGUAGCGUCAUACCCCAAAAGACUUGAGGCUGUAAUUGCUACCAAAGAUGCUUCAAAAAAGUACUGAGUAAAGAGUCUGAAUAAGUAUGUAAAUUUGACAUUUCUAUUUUAACGUUUCUAUAAAUUAGCAAAAAUGUCUUACAUGUUUUUGCUUUGUCAUUAUGGGUAUUGUGUGUAGAUUGAUGAGGAAAAAAACAAUUGAAUCAAUUUUAGAAUAAGGCUGUAACCUAAUAAAAUGUUGAAAAAGUCAAGGGAUCUAAAUAGUUUCCGAAGGCACUGUACACCACCUAGUGUAUCCUUACCUUCAAUAUCCUAUUAUGUUAACUUAUGGUAGCUUAUGUUACAUCAAAAUACUUUCUCCUGUAGACACUCCUUUCUGGUAUGAAUAAGUACAUGGAUUCUUUCCUCCCCAGCACAAGGUUAUUCCAGGUGACCUGGAGGCCACAGACGAGACGGUGGAGAAAGAGGCAGGGAUUGACGCAACAAAAUUAGAACUCACCAAGCCACCCUCCACUUCAAGGAAACCUUCCAUCUUCCACAAAACAGGAACCCUGUUCAGUAAGUUCCAAAGACGUGGAACAGAGGAAUCCUGACUCCGGAAUGUUAGAAUCCUGACUCUGGAGUAAGAAGAUUCUACCAGUCUGGAUACCUUAUCAUACAUGUAACAUCACCUGUGUACAUAAUGGUUAAUAAUAAUAUUAUGAUUCAUUACUAAAAUAAUUCUCAAAAUGUGCUAAUUUAUAUGCCUUUACUCGCUUUAAUCUAAGAAUGUGUAUUAUCUUUCUACUUGAAAGAGCAGUCAUCUCUUACGAUGCAGUGCUUUAAUGCAGUGCUUUAAUGAUGAAUGGUGUCUAAACCAACAUCCCAAUGCCUUCAAACUGCUUGAAUAGGCAACAUGAUAACAUGAUAACGACCAAUCAAUGUACAGCUGACUAUUAGACAGAUAAAAACUUUACAUAGUUCCUUGUAUGUGAGUAGACUUACUUUACAUAGAUUUUGAUAUUUGUAACAUUUAUUUAGAUAAACAGACAUUUUAAAUAAAUAUAUACAUUUACAUAUGUCCUGAAGUGUAGAUUUAGUCUUUGAUUGACAGGAGAAAUGACCAGUGGGGCUUUAUUGCGACUGUGAUUGACCCCUGGGCUGAAGUAUGGAUGGAUUGAGUGUCAGCAAAGUUUGUAUUCGUAUUUAUUAUGGAUGUGUUUGUCACGCCCUGAUCCGUUACACCUGUCUUUGUGCUUGUCUCCACCCCCCUCCAGGUGUCACCUAUCUUCCCCAUUAUCCCCUGUGUACUUAUACCUGUGUCUUCUGUUUGUCUGUUGCCAGUUCGUCUUGUUUGUCAAGCCUACCAGCGUUCGUCCUGUCAGCGCCUGACUUUUUCCCUGCAUCUCUUUUUCGCAUCCUCCUGGUUUUUUACCCUUGCCUGUCCUGACCUUGUACCUGACCACCUGACCACUCUGCCCAUCCCGGACCCUGAGCCUACCUUUGCUCCACCUCUGGAUUACUGAACUCUGCCUGACCCUGACCCUGCCUGCCUUGACCUGUCGUUUGCCUGCCCCUGGUGUUACAAUAAACAUCAUUAUUCACACAGUCUGCACUUGGGUCUCACCUUGAUUCCAGAUAUUAUUAUGCCAAGGCAGCAGCUACUCUUCCUGGGGACUCGCAAAAUUAAGUCAGUUCUACAAUUUGAUGCCUUCAAGUUGUAGCCCAUGAAGAAGUAGAUAUGGCAUUGAGCUCCCACAUCAUAAAAGGAUACCCACCCUUGUUCAUAGUCUACGUACACCCUGACCCUGGGGUCAAGGAGAGAGGAACAGGAGAGUCACCAAGAGCUUUGUAUGUGCUCCCAUCUCUCAGCCAUAUCAACUAGUAUUCUUUCUCAGGGUUUAGUAAAACACUACCCUUCCUGUUUAUGGACACUCUCGCCACUCCUAAUGUCUAGUCAGUCUUCCCCUUCACCAUUACUUUGUAAUAACACCACCCUGUGGAAAAGCCCUCCUUUCCCAGGACACUGACGAUCAGAUUAAAUUAUCCUGGAAGAUUCUUUCUUUGCUCUCCUCUUCUAAGGUCUCUCCGGGUCACUUGUUUCCCGUCUGCAGACAGGAGAAGAGAGAGAUGAUCCGGAUCCAG